CACGGCGCGUGCGCAGGGGCCGAAGCGCCACGCGCUUCCCAUUCCACCGCGCGCUCUCCUUGAGGAACGCUCCGCCCAGUUCCCUUGUGCGCGUGCGCCCGGGAAACGCUUCCUUUGCCCGACCUAGGUUCGCGUCCGCGAGUACCGCCUGUUUGCCGUCGCUCCGCCCGGCAGCUUCACGUGCUCCGAAGCGGCCGCGGAGAAGCCUCCUAUAAGUGGACAGGGUGGUGUCCACAGAGUCAAUACAACACUAGAUCUGGCAUCGGAUGCCCUGUGUGUAAGACCAGCUUUCCCGUGCAUUGAAGGAGUGACUUGGCAAAGCUACUUAACCUCCUUCAGUUUCAGUUUCUUCAGUUGUAAAAUGGGAAUGAAAACAGCAUCUUCCCCAGAGGUUACACAUGAGGAUGAAAUGAGGUUUCAUUCUUAGACAGAACCUCCCCUCAUGGCUGACAGAAGGCUGCAGCCUCUCAAGACUUCACACUGCCAGGACUUCAAGUCUGUUGGGGAGAAGGAGACCACUCGUCCUCAGCAUAUGAACAAAAGCCCCAGGUCUGGUUAUCAUUGGCUGAAUUGGGUCAUGUGCCCAUCCUGAAAUCAAUCACUUUGGGGCCCUGUCUUAUUGAGGAAGGCAGUGACGGAAAACGCCUGGCCUAUCACAUGACUGAUCUCCGCUGUCAUGAGCCAUCGUUCUCUAACUGCAAGCUUUCAUUUUCAAAGUCCUGGCAUGAUUUCAGGAGCUGUAAACCUUCAUAUGAAACAGAAAUGGAACAUGGUGAUGGAAGCAAAAGAAAAAGCCCAGGUUGAAAGGCCUGGGCUACUUCAGAGGUCCCUCCCUGGCCACGGUCUGGAAGCUUCUCAUGAGAGACUCCUACCUUGGGCAGCAUGUAGUCUCUAGGUCAUCUUUUCCAGGAGAAAAAGUGGCAACUCUAAAUGUACCUGUUGAAAUGGCCCCAAGAAGGAAGUAGACAGGAUCCCUGAGUGACACUGGAAGAAAUGACCCCAGUGAGCUGAUUGACCUGCAAUGGAUUUUGGG